GUGAUAAUGGUGAAAACAAUGGUGAAAGUCUAAAUCUACUUUUGCUAUUUUGAGGGGAUACAUACCUUUCUUGCACUUUGAAGCUUUUUGAGGGGAAUGAGAUGCUCUAUAUUUUCUUUUUCUUUUCUCUCAGGUGGGUAUCUUGUACCCCUAAUUCUACUGUCGGACACUUGUCCAUUUUUACCUCUCGUCUUACUUUUUCUUUUCUUCGAGGUUCCGGGCACUUGCCCCUUUUUAUUUCCUCGUAUUCACUUUUUUAGAGCACUCACCCUCCUAGAAUAAUGUAGCAAGUGGUAGUAACCAAAAUAUCUCGAGCAUUUAUUUCACAGGGAAUAACAGGGAUAGGAAAAAGUUUUUGGCUAUUCUCUCUUGGAUAGGAGUAGAAUAAUUUCAGGUGAAUCUGGAGAUGGAAAUGAGUGGAUGUAUGUGGAUGCGUACUUCCAGAGUAGAAGCAGUAUGUAUGUGUGAACGUGCAAGUGAAUCUUGAUUUUAACCGCAUG
rnacentral:lncRNA from 1 species